UUGGUGCUUUCUCUGUUAAUCCACAGGUAAAGCAAAACGUAGCUUUUCUAACUUUAUGUUGGUACGGUAUUAACUGUAUGAGUACAGUGUUAAGUAUUUUUGUGAUGUGUACAAGUGUGUUGAAACGUGUAUUAAGGUAAACGAGUGCUGGCUCAAUGCCAAAAGGCUCAGCGUGUUGUUGCUAACUAAGAAGCACUAUGGUUUUCAUUUAACUGUCAGUGUUGUACAAUGGCAUCAACUGUGUUCAGUAAAGUCGAUGUGUUCUACAUAUUAUCCAGUCUUAGCUUGCUAGAAGUGAGUAAAUGUUAUUUUUUUUUGCAAGAAGCUCCAUGUUAUGCUAGUUUCUAGUAGUCUAGCACACUCCCGGGUAAAAUAGCACUGCUGGUAAAGUGUAUGUGUGUGUGUGUGUGUGUGUGUGUGUGUGUGUGUGUGUGUGUGUGUGUGUGUGUGUGUGUGUGUGUGUGUGUGUGUGUGUGUGUGUGUGUGUGUGUGUGUGUGUGUGUGUGUGUGUGUGUGUGUACAUGUGAAUGACAGGGUAUAACAGCAAAUGAUGAGUAAAUGUCUUAGUAAAUAUGAGUUGUUAUUUUGCUGUGUUUUAUGAGUUCAGCCUUAUGAGUUUAUGUUAAUUCAUUGUAGAUUCAUGUGCUCUUAUUUGGCUUGAAGAGUGUUGUGUAUAAUUUCUUAUUAUUUUGUUACCCAAAUUGCUGUUCUAUUUAUGAGAUAUUGUGUGUAUGAGAUGUAGAGAAGCCACACUUUAACUGGAAAGCCUAUUAUGGGAAAUGUAAUUAAUUGAUUGUUGUUUGUUAGUUGUUUAUAAUGAUGCGCAGAACAGAAAUAAAUGCAUGAGGAAGACACUAACUUGGUGCUCUCUCUGUUAAUCCACAGCCAUUAAUUACUUCCGGUUACACAGUGUUUCCUGGCCUGUGUAAUCUUUGCUGCCGGUCCAGAUUACCCCUAGGUCUGGUGCCGGUAACACAUGCAUAACACGCACGUGCUCAGCGCAAGGCCUGCCAGGAUGUUGUGGAGGGGAUGAUUGCAUGUCCAACCUCCUGCCAAGCCCUGAACUAACCUUGUUCAUCACCUACUGCAGCCGCCCAGGGACCUCCUCCUCUAGGCUGCCUCCUCAGCAGACUACAGCCACCACCAAGAGACAGCAGUCCAGGAAACCUAUGGUCGACAUCCCAUUACUGAGGGAUUUGUUCAUUGCUCGUCUCAUUGCUGAUGUAUGGACAUGGCUGUGCUUCCCCCACACGAUGAACUCAAACCAAGCAUGGAUUGUACAGAAUGGAAAGUUGUUUAUCAGUGGAAGGAGGUGUGGACAGAUGCCUUAUUUAACACAUCAUCAAGGUCCAACCAGGUGUCUGGAGGCCACAUGGAGUCAAAGUUCUGGACUGUACAGAUCUUGCCCACCUGCUUCACUGUGCAACCAGAGUCCAAAGGUGUCUGUGGACAACAGUGCCUCCUGGUGGUGCAGUUGGACUCCUGCUCAAUCUGUGCUCUAGGUUACUAUACACUGAUCAGGGCCAAAUUGUGAUGACUAGAGGACUGGGUCAGAGCAUCUCCAAAACUGCAGCUCUUGUGGGGUGUUCCUGGUCUGCAGUGGUCAGUAUUUAUCAAAAGUGGUCCACGGAAGGAACAGUGGUGAACAGGCGACAGGGUCAUGGGUGGCCAAGGCUCAUUGAUGCACGUGGGGAGCGAUGGCUGGGAAUAAAGAAUUUUUUAUAAAUGUUUUUGCGGGCCACUGGGACUUUAUAACGUCUGCCUGAUGGAAGUAACUGGAAGGAGUGAUGGAGGGGGUGAGAGGGGUCUUCUGUGAUCAGAGUGGCUUUCUUGAUCACAGAGCGGUUAUACAGUUCAGUGGCAUGAGUUUGUGGUGAACCAAUGAUUUUGCAAGCCUGACUAACAAUAUGGGAGAGUUUUGUGUUUCGUGGAGAGGGAGCUGUGCAAGGAUGAAAUGUUGAAUGUGAGGAUGGAUUCAAUGAGUGAGGUGUAAACCAGGGUUAAAAUGCCUCUGCUGAGUCCUCAGUUUCCUCAGCAGGUGAAGGCGCUGCUGUGCUUUUUUGUCAGGGUGCUCAUGCUGAGCCCUGUGCUUCACCAAAAGCACCAACAAUAGCCACGUAAGCACAUCAGAAAUGGACUACGGAGCAAUGGAAGAAAGUGGCCUGGUCUGAUGAAUCAUGUUAUCUUUUACAUCACGUGGAUGGCCGGGUGCGUGUCUGUCGCUUACCUGAGGAACACAUGGCACCAGGAUGCACUAUGGGAAGAAGCAAGCCGGCAGAGGCAGUGUGAUGCUUUGGGCAGUGUUCUGCUGGGAAACCUUGGGUCCUGCCAUCCAUGUGGAUGUUACUUUGACAUGUACCACCUACCUAAGCAUUUGCAGACCAUGUACACCCUUUGAUGGAAACAAUAUUCCCUGAUGACUGUGGCCUCUUUCAGCAGGAUAAUGUGCCAUGCCACAAAGAAAAAAUGGUUCAGGAAUGGUUUGAGGAGCACAACAAUGAGUUUGAGGUGUUGACUUGGCCUCCAAAUUCCCCAGAUCUGAAUUCAAUCAAGCAUCUGUGCAGUGUGCUGGACAAACAAGUCCGAUCCAUUAAGGACCCACCUCGCAACUUCCAGGACUUAAAAGAUCUGCUGCGAACCUCUUACCACAGCACCAAGGUCUAGUGGAGUCCAUGCCUCGAUGGGUCAGGGCUGUUUUGGCAGCAAAAGAGUGACCAGCACAAUAUUAGGCAGAUGGUCAUAAUGCUGUUGGGUUAUUUUAUACAAUAAUACAGAUUUUAUUCAUUGUAUGUGUUGGUGUAUCCUUUCUUCUCACAGCUAGA